rnacentral:tRNA from 1 species
CGGGGUGUGGCUCAGCCUGGUAGAGCGCUGCGUUCGGGACGCAGAAGUCGUCAGUUCAAAUCUGGCCACCCCGACCA